AGAUGAAGACUGAGCGGUUGUGGCCCUGUUGCCGACCUUGAGCAGCAGUUGGCUUCGCCACGUAGAACCCAGGAGUAGGAGACUCAGAAUUGAAUCUCUUCUCCCUCCCUGCUCCUGUGAGAUUGUUUUGAUCUUCAGCUACGUUUUCGGCUUUGUGAGAAACCUUAUCAUCAAACACAAUGGCCAGCAAUGUUACCAACAAGACAGAUCCUCGCCCCAUGAAUGUGUGUUCAUUGGGAAUCUCAACACUCUUGUGGUAAAGAAGUCUGGUGUGGAGGCGAUCUUUUCGAAGUAUGGCAAAAGUGUGGGCUGCGCUGUUCAUACGGGCUUUGCUUUCGUUCAAUAUGUUAAUGAGAGAAAUGCCCGGGCUGCUGUAGCAGGAGCGGAUGGCAGAAUAAUCGCUGGUCAGGUUUUAGAUAUUAACCUGGCUACAGAGCCAAAAGUGAACCGAGGAAAAGCAGGUGUGAAAUGAUCAGCAGUGGAGAUGUACGGGUCAGAAACAGAACACCCUUCUCCAUCCCUCUACUCAGCUCCUCUUUUGACUUAGACUAUGACUUUCAGUGGGACUAUUAUGAUAGGAUGUGCAGUUACCCAGCACGUGUACCUCCUCCUCCUUCUAUUGCUGGGGCUGUAGUGCCCUUGAAAUGUCAGGGUGUAUCAGGAAACACCUCACGAAAGGGCAAAAGUGGCUUCAUUUGUAAGAGUGGACAGCAGGGAUCUUCCAAGUCCGGAAAGUUGAAAGGAGAUGACCUUCAGGACAUUAAGAAGGAGUUGACCCAGAUAAAAUGAAAAGUGGAUUCUCUCCUGGAAAACCUGGAAAAAAUGGAAAAGAAACAGAGCAAACAAGGAGUAGAGAUGAAGAAUGAUAAGUCAGAAGAGGAGCAGAGCAGCAGCUCGCAUGAGACUCAUGUGAAGAUAGAGUCUGAGGGGGGUGCAGAUGACUCUGCUGAGGAGAGGGACCUCGUGGAUGAUGAGGAUAAUGAAGAUGGGAGGAUGACCAGCUGGAGUUGAUCAAGGAUGAUGAAAAAGAGGCUGAGGAAGGAGAGGAUGACAGACAGUGCCAAUGGUGAAGAUGACUUGUAA